rnacentral:rRNA from 1 species
AGUCGUAACAAAGUCUCCGUAGGUGAACCUGCGGAGGGAUCAUUACACAAAUAUGAAGGCGGGCUGGAACCUCUCGGGGUUACAGCCUUGCUGAAUUAUUCACCCUUGUCUUUUGCGUACUUCUUGUUUCCUUGGUGGGUUCGCCCACCACUAGGACAAACAUAAACCUUUUGUAAUUGCAAUCAGCGUCAGUAACAAAUUAAUAAUUACAACUUUCAACAACGGAUCUCUUGGUUCUGGCAUCGAUGAAGAACGCAGCGAAAUGCGAUAAGUAGUGUGAAUUGCAGAGUUCAGUGAAUCAUCGAAUCUUUGAACGCACAUUGCGCCCUUUGGUAUUCCAAAGGGCAUGCCUGUUCGAGCGUCAUUUGUACCCUCAAGCUUUGCUUGGUGUUGGGCGUCUUGUCUCUAGCUUUGCUGGAGACUCGCCUUAAAGUAAUUGGCAGCCGGCCUACUGGUUUCGGAGCGCAGCACAAGUCGCACUCUCUAUCAGCAAAGGUCUAGCAUCCAUUAAGCCUUUUUUUCAACUUUUGACCUCGGAUCAGGUAGGGAUACCCGC